rnacentral:rRNA from 1 species
UGUAGUCAUAUGCUUGUCUCAAAGAUUAAGCCAUGCAUGUCUAAGUAUAAACAAAUCUAUACUGUGAAACUGCGAAUGGCUCAUUAAAUCAGUUAUAGUUUAUUUGAUAAUACCUUACUACUUGGAUAACCGUAGUAAUUCUAGAGCUAAUACAUGCUAAAAAACCCGACUCUCGGAAGGGUUGUAUUUAUUAGAUAAAAAACCAAUGCGGUCUCGGCCGGUUAUUUGGUGAUUCAUAAUAACUUUGCGAAUCGUAUGACUUUGCGUCGACGAUGAUUCAUUCAAAUUUCUGCCCUAUCAACUUUCGAUGGUAAGGCAUUGGCGUACCAUGGUUACAACGGGUAACGGGGA